rnacentral:rRNA from 1 species
CAGUCGCCGCGGGAAUACGAAGGGGGCUAGCGUUGCUCGGAAUGACUGGGCGUAAAGGGCGCGUAGGUGGUAUAGCAAGUUAGAUGUGAAAUUCCUGGGCUCAACCUGGGGACUGCAUUUGAUACUGCUAAACUAGAGUUCGGAAGAGGGUAGUGGAAUUUCCAGUGUAGAGGUGAAAUUCGUAGAUAUUGGAAAGAACACCGGUGGCGAAGGCGGCUACCUGGUCCGACACUGACGCUGAGGCGCGAAAGCGUGGGGAGCAAACAGGAUUAGAUACCCCCGUAGUCCCUGUCUCUUAUAC